UUGUUCGCAUGAACAACGCUUAAAAGAUGGCUUCUCGCUAUCACUUCUGGAUGGACCUGCGGUGCAUUAGCUUGUUGGUGGGGUAACGGCCUACCAAGGCGAUGAUGCAUAGCCGAGUUGAGAGACUGAUCGGCCACAAUGGGACUGAGACACGGCCCAUACUCCUACGGGAGGCAGCAGUAGGGAAUCUUCCACAAUGGGCGCAAGCCUGAUGGAGCAACACCGCGUGAGUGAAGAAGGGUUUCGGCUCGUAAAGCUCUGUUGUUAAAGAAGAACACGUAUGAGAGUAACUGUUCAUAC
rnacentral:rRNA from 1 species